AGGUGCGGCGGUGGCUAACCAUGCAAGUCGAACGAGAAAGUCCGCAAGGAUGAGUACAGUGGCGCACGGGUGAGUCCUUUAUAGGAAUCUGCCUCUGAGGGGAGAAUACCCUAGAGAACCUUUGGUUAAUACUGCAUAAUCCCAGAAAUGGGGAAAGGUGGCCUCAAGCUGCCGCUGAGAGAUGAGCCUGUGGCCCUUUAGCUAGUUGGUGGGGUAAAAGCCUACCAAGGCGAAGAUGGGUAACCGGCCUAAGAGGGUGUACGGUCACACUGGAACUGAGACACGGUCCAGACUCCUACGGGAGGCAGCAGUGGGGAAUUUUGCACAAUGGGCGAAAGCCUGAUGCAGCGACGCCGCGUGGAGGAUGAAGGUCUUCGGAUUGUAAACUCCUGUUAAGUGGGAAUAGAGAUUCUUACCUAAUACGUAU
rnacentral:rRNA from 1 species